GGGCGCCCGGUCACCUUCGGGCGCCCUGGGGGCCGGAAGUUCCGCGUCCACCCUCCCGCUCCCGGCCAGCAGGUCCUGUCCGCCAAAGACCAGGGCUGGUUCCUCUGUCUCUCGGGAGCCUGUCUCCCAGAGAAGCCGUCCACCCAGGGGCCCACCGCGGUCCCAGAGGAGCCGACCUCCAGCGUGGACCAGGGCUGCGGAGCAGGUUCUACACCCCACCUGGCGCCGCCGCCUGGUGCCCCUGUGCGCUCACCUGGUUGGGCUGGGAGAUCUGAGGACCCCGGGCUGGAGGCAUCGAGGCCAGGGCGACCCUGAAUCCCCGUGUUGAAUAGUUUCUGCACCUAUCUGAGCCCGUGUGGCCCUCGUCACCACAGAGUUUUGGCCCUACACCGGCGCACGGCUUCUAGGUCUGCUCAGUCGGACCCGAGUUCCCCGAGAACGCACGCAGCACCCCAGCCAGAGCUUGUCUCAAUGCAGGGUCUGGCACGCAGGGCUCUCUGAGUGUUAGCUGUGGGCACCAUGAAGGAAUUCCCUUGAAAGUCCCCCAAAGGAUUGCUGGUGCUGGCUUGCGCUCUGCAACCACUCCUUGAGAGGGCGCCAUCGCUUUCCUUGCUGUCACGCUCCUUGAGCUCCCGGCCACCUCGACCUCUCCACCUCUCCACCUCUUCAUCUUCCCUCACAAGGCGGAGCUGUCACUCAUCAGCCCCAUUCCUGACCAUCCUUGUUGCCAUACCAGGAAGCACUGGAAAACAGGGGCUCCCCUCCCCCGCUGCUGUCCGCCCAAGAAAGGACGAGAGUCUGGUUGAUGCUGAAAACCAAUUCCCCUUUUAGAAGCCGGUUGCAGGAAAUAAAUUAAGUGACAGGACUGGCUGCCCAGGAUGGUGGAACCACAGGGAAGGGGGAGCUGGUGUGGACCAGAGCUGGCAAAAGCUUGCUUUACGAACACAUGAAUGAACAAAUGGCAUCCCUGCCCCUGCUCACUCAGAGAAGCCUGCCACUGGCCCUGGUCAGUGGAGGUCCAUACUGACUCUGUGCAUCCGCAGGGAUCCAAUCAGGGUAGCCGGAUCCUUGUGUAUCUAACAUUGUUGGUGCCUGACCCCACUUAAGGGAAAUGCCCCUGAUGCCAAAGACACCACGUACACCACAGA